rnacentral:rRNA from 1 species
UACGGAGGGGGCAAGCGUUACUCGGAAUUAUUGGGCGUAAAGGGCGCGUAGGCGGUCCUGUGCGUCGGAGGUGAAAUCCCCGGGCUCAACCCGGGAGCUGCCUCCGAUACGGCGGGACUUGAGUCCGGGAGAGGGGAGCGGAAUUCCCAGUGUAGCGGUGAAAUGCGUAGAUAUUGGGAGGAACACCAGUGGCGAAGGCGGCUCCCUGGACCGGUACUGACGCUGAGGCGCGAAAGCGUGGGUAG